CAGGAUGAUACUCUAUUUUCUCCCUUCCAGAUAACGCGUCUGUGUGUGUGUGUGUGUGUGUGUGUGUGUGUGUGUGUGUGUGUCCCCUUUUUUUUUUUUUUCCCCUUCACAGCGAAGGAAAAAGAAGACAGAGCAGCGCUGCCUAUUCACUCACUGACGCAAACUAUAAGACCUGUCUGUCUCUGCGGGGCCCGUGAAUAGCUCCUUAUGCCACAUGCCGACCAAUAGAAACGCAGAGUGCUCCUCUGUGUGCGGCUGAACACGGCGAGCUGGAAGGAGGAGAUAUGGCGCUUUAGAUGCUGCAAGGGAGAGAACUGUGAAAACAGAGGUCAUGAGACAAACAGCAUCGCGCACGUCGCCAUUCUUUGUUUAUGCUGUUGUUCUGUGAAGUUGGUGGCCUGAAGCACCUCUUUCCUGGCGACGUCAACCCGGGAUGUAGAAAGGAAAGGGCCGCAGAGACAGAGGUAGCAGGCUCAGACACGCAACCGGCUGCUGCACCAGGAGCUGACCUCCAAUAUGGUCGCAGGAGAGUGCUUUAGAACGUCACCUCGAACGCCCCCCCCCUCCCCGACAGGAAGCGUCCGCCAGUUGUCCAUUUGGCUCGGUGCAGAUGAGUGACAUGAGAUCCAUAGUGACACCGGUGGGCACGUAAAGCUUUUACCAGCAGCGGAGCGAGCGUGUCCCUCCUUCACACAUGGCCGGGUCCUGAAGGAGACGGGAGUUAUACCUGACCGGGGGCAGACAUGUACGCAUGUACAAGGGCACGCGUGUGCGGCCAAACACACACAUACACACACACACACACACACACACACACACAUAAGCAUGCGGUGGCUUAAUCCCAGGGGAGAAGUCAGGAGUCUGGACAUCAGACUUUACAGCAGAAAGCACGCUCCAUCAGUCCACGGGGAGACCAUUUGAGUAGAGGCAGUCUGCCUCACUCACCGUCAAACUUGUCAGUCCUGCUCUGGUGGAAUUCCUCCCCCCCCCACCACCAACCCCUGAACAAUAAGUUUAAUGGAUGUUCACUGUAUCCCCCCUCCCUCCAAGUGAAGCAAAUCAUAGCUGUGUGGUAAAAAAAUAAAUAAAAAAAUCUUCAAUAAG